rnacentral:rRNA from 1 species
UACGGGGGGGGCAAGCGUUGUUCGGAAUUACUGGGCGUAAAGGGCGCGUAGGCGGCUUUUCAAGUCGGGCGUGAAAUCUCCGGGCUUAACCCGGAAGGGUCGUUCGAUACUGUUGAGCUAGAGUGUGGAAGAGGCAACUAGAAUUCCGUGUGUAGCGGUGAAAUGCGUAGAUAUACGGAGGAAUACCUGAGGCGAAGGCGGGUUGCUGGGCCAACACUGACGCUGAGGCGCGAAAGCCAGGGGAGCAAAC